AGUAGGUGGAGGGAGUGGGGGAGACGAGCACUGUUCUGUUUUCUGCUGCCACCUAACCUAGAAAAAGAAAAUGGCAGAAGGAGGCGGAAUGGUUUUGGAAGGAUUUUUAUGUCCGGUUUGUAAAGCAGACUUGGGCACUGCAGUUAAACUCUUGUCUCAUUUUGAGAAAGAACAUAAUGAGGACAAAGACGUAUUACAAGCUUUUAAAGAUUUGUUUGGUAAAGCCAAAAAGAAAAUACUGAAAAAUGAAGGCUUGCCAUCUGGGGAUUCAGAUGUUUCCACCAAAUCUCGAAAAGUCAUUGGGUAUUCUCCAAGUUUGUAUGAACCCCAGUGUAUUGGAGCUAUUCGCUCUCACACAAAGUUAUUUGCCUCUGUUCGUAGCCAGCAUUUAGAGCACUAUACUGUAGAGACUAAUAAACUGCUCAUCCGUCUUGAUAAGAUUCUGAGAGAUCUACCUUCAGACCCUCUGAAGAGAAAAGCACAUGAACAAGAAGUUGUACCUUGGGUGGAUGAGAAGAUGGUGCGCCUCUGCCCCAGUUGUAGUAGAUCCUUCCAUUUGGCGAGAAGAAAGCACCAUUGUCGUCUUUGUGGUUUUGUUAUGUGCAAUGACUGCAGUUAUUCGUUAAACCUUGAUGUUGCCCGUAAAAUGACAAGCCCUAUCACCCAGGCUGAGGCAUCAAGUGACACCCAUGGUUCAUCUGUGCCUACUCCAAAAUUAAAACGAUCAAACUCUAGCUCUAGUUUGAAUUCAGUAUUGUCCUUAGUAGAGGGAGUCCACCAAAUAGACACAGGGUUGCGUGUUUGUAAUGAUUGUUUAAGACUCCUUGAAAGCAGGGAGGCUCUGAGGGAGAGUAGAACAGCACGCCCAAUCUUACUUCAGUUUUAUGAGCGACUAAGAAGUUACAUGCAAGAUGCCAAUCAAUUACUUCCAACUUAUAUUUUAAUGUGCAACUCUCUCAGCUGUGGGGAACCUACUUAUCAGCUGAAAGAGGCACAGACAUUGUGGGGAAAGUUGCUUCGAUUAGCAGAACACAUCGACUCUCUUAGCAAAAAGAUACUCGUCUUAGGUAGUGCUGACACUGAAAAUCCACCCAGGGGCAGAGCAUUACUUCUGCAGCAACAAAUACGAGCUGCAGCCACUGCAUUUUUACGUAAUGAGAUGCUAGGACUUCCAACAUUGCCUACAGAAGCAAAGUACUUAGAGAUGCAGGAACAACGCAGGCAGGAGCUUAAAGCUCGCAUACAACAGGAGCAAAUGGAGGCAAUGGCCUCAAUGCAGGCUCAAAAACAGAAAAUUAGAGAAAGAGGCCAAGAGCCAAGUAGAAUUACAUACACCAAGGAUCGGGAUAAUGUUCACCAAGAUACUGUCUUACUAGAUGCGGGAUGGACACCAGACACAGCUCGACUUUUCAGUACAGAUGAUCCUAUGGUGCAGCAAAUGAAUAACCUUAAGCAUUACAUAAAAGAGGCAAAAUUAGCUCAUAAGGUAGACGAAGUUGAGGCCCUUGAACGUAAUCUUGAAGAAUUGCAAGAGGAAUACUGGAGACAGCAAGAACAGAAACGGCAAGAAAGUGAUAGCUAGUCAAAUAAUUUCAUAGUGUAUAUAGCUGGUUACAAAAGUUAUUGAGUUUGGUGCUAUGUUGUUAAUUCAUUAUCAAUACUUGUGAAGUACACUGAAACAAGUGUACUUAUUGCCUAGGUCUCUCUUUGCUAAUUAAAGUCAAUCAAUUCUAUUGUACAGUUGAUCCUGCAACAUAUUAAUUUUCUGUAAUUAUGUCUUAUUCAUGUAUUGCAGUGUUGUAUAUUAAAACUAGGCUCAUUGGUAUUCCUGCUUACUAGAACAUUUUUCUAGGAACUUUGGAAAUUGACUCCACACAGAUGACUUAUGUUCAAUUGUUUUUGUUUGAUG
rnacentral:misc_RNA from 1 species